rnacentral:rRNA from 1 species
UACAGAGGUCUCAAGCGUUGUUCGGAUUCAUUGGGCGUAAAGGGUGCGUAGGCGGCGCGGUAAGUCGGGUGUGAAAUUUCGAGGCUUAACUUCGAAACUGCAUUCGAUACUGCCGUGCUUGAGGACUGGAGAGGAGACUGGAAUUUACGGUGUAGCAGUGAAAUGCGUAGAUAUCGUAAGGAAGACCAGUGGCGAAGGCGAAUCUCUGGACAGUUACUGACACUGAGGCUCGAAGGCCAGGGGAGCAAACGGG